UGCAUGCAAACAGGCAAAGUACUGAACGCUGAUCAGAGCUGAAGGGGAGAGGCUGUGAAGGGAUGAGUGAAAGACAGAUAAAUGAUUGUUCAAGUACUUAUUGAGGCAAACAUUUGGUACAUAAUUUGUUUUUGAUACAACUGUAAUGAAUAUCAUUCUUCUCUAUGGAACAACACGCCAGAUCUUUAGCACAUCACUGCUUGGUGCCCAGUGGGCAGCCAGUGCCCAGUUGCCAAUGCCACUUUUGAGCGCAUGUUCAUCUGCAGGAUAUUAAACAGAUUGCCAUCCUUUUGAUGUUUGUGAAUGCGAGUGCUGUUGAGAGCCAUGCUAUCCAAUUGGCUGGAAGACCUCUUCUUGGACCACAAAUCAUCUAACGUACUAUUCCUCUUUGUUCUAAUGAAGAAUGGAAAAAUUAAAGAUACACUCUAACCUCAGUGCAUUUAUGUGGAGAUUGUAGAGCAUUCACAGGUCAUGAGAACACGAGCAAAUAUGUUCAAAGUUUCUCAAAAUCUCAAUUGCCAAAGGAAUCGAGGGAGGCAUAGCAGAAGCCCUGGGGAAACACUAAUUAGCUACCCGCAAGGAAGAUGUCCCAGCCACGUAAACAAUCUCCUGAAGUCUCUGGACUGUAAUGAGGACCAAGCCCCAGUGAUAAGUCCUGCUCUGUGCUGUGCCGCUGCAUGAAGUUUCAGUAAUUUUCAAGGAGAACGUGAUUGGAGUCAGGCCCGGGGCUGCACGGAAUCCACUAAUCACCAUUCAGAGACUUCGGAUCCCUGGAAUCCACAGGGGAGAAUUGGCUCUUCAGAGUUAAAGGAGACACUGUCGAAUGUUGCUCAGAAGUGGAGCAAUCUGUUUAAAUAUUUAUCUAUUUAGUAUAUAUUGGAGUCCCUCUGGUCUUUGCAUAGUUGAUUCCUUGUUCUCUUUCUUUUGAUUAACUCAAAAAACCAAACGAAUAAAAGACCUGUAUAUUCACCCAAGCUUGCUAGUGAAAUUCUUUAUGUCUGGUUAUAGCUUUUUCUCUCCUUUUUCCUCCACUAGUAGAGUAGCAAUCAGGUUGACAAUAGAAAGAGAAAGGACUGCACGAGGUCUGUGUGUGUAGGUACAUUUAUUGUGACUUCAUAGCAUGAAUGUUACUGAAUCUUAA